AAUAAGCGGAGGAAAAGAAACUAACAAGGAUUCCCCUAGUAACGGCGAGUGAAGCGGGAAGAGCUCAAAUUUGAAAUCUGGUAGCCUUCGGUUGCCCGAGUUGUAAUCUAGAGAAGUGUUUUCCGUGCCGGCCCAUGUACAAGUCCCUUGGAACAGGGCGUCAUAGAGGGUGAGAAUCCCGUCCUUGACAUGGACCCCCGGUGCUUUGUGAUACACUUUCAACGAGUCGAGUUGUUUGGGAAUGCAGCUCAAAAUGGGUGGUGAAUUCCAUCUAAAGCUAAAUAUUGGCGAGAGACCGAUAGCGAACAAGUACCGUGAGGGAAAGAUGAAAAGCACUUUGGAAAGAGAGUUAAACAGUACGUGAAAUUGUUGAAAGGGAAACGAUUGAAGUCAGUCAUGCUCUUAGGAUUCAGCCGUUCUGCGGUGUAUUUCCUUUGAGUGGGGUCAACAUCAGUUUUGAUCGAUGGAUAAAGGCACGAGGAAGGUAGCACUCUCGGGUGAACUUAUAGCCUCGCGUCAUAUACAUUGAUUGGGACUGAGGAACGCAGCAUGCCUUUAUGGCCGGGAUUCGUCCACGUACAUGCUUAGGAUGUUGACAUAAUGGCUUUAAACGACCCGUCUUGAAAC
rnacentral:rRNA from 1 species